rnacentral:rRNA from 1 species
UACAGAGGUCUCAAGCGUUGUUCGGAUUCAUUGGGCGUAAAGGGUGCGUAGGCGGCGCGGUAAGUCGGGGUGUGAAAUCUCGGGGCUUAACUCCGAAACUGCAUUCGAUACUGCCGUGCUUGAGGACUGGAGAGGAGACUGGAAUUUACGGUGUAGCGGUGAAAUGCGUAGAUAUCGUAAGGAAGACCAGUGGCGAAGGCGGGUCUCUGGACAGUUCCUGACGCUGAGGCGCGGAAGGCGUGGGGAGCAAACAGG